UACGAAGGGGGCUAGCGUUGCUCGGAAUCACUGGGCGUAAAGCGCACGUAGGCGGAUUUCUAAGUCGGGGGUGAAAUCCUGGAGCUCAACUCCAGAACUGCCUUCGAUACUGGAAAUCUUGAGUCCGGGAGAGGUGAGUGGAACUGCGAGUGUAGAGGUGAAAUUCGUAGAUAUUCGCAAGAACACCAGUGGCGAAGGCGGCUCACUGGCCCGGUACUGACGCUGAGGUGCGAAAGCGUGGGGAGCAACAGG
rnacentral:rRNA from 1 species